UACGAAGGGGGCUAGCGUUGCUCGGAAUCACUGGGCGUAAAGGGCGCGUAGGCGGCUUUUUAAGUCAGGGGUGAAAUCCUGGAGCUCAACUCCAGAACUGCCUUUGAUACUGGGGAUCUUGAGUUCGGGAGAGGUGAGUGGAACUGCGAGUGUAGAGGUGAAAUUCGUAGAUAUUCGCAAGAACACCAGUGGCGAAGGCGGCUCACUGGCCCGAUACUGACGCUGAGGCACGAAAGCGUGGGGAGCAAACAGG
rnacentral:rRNA from 1 species